rnacentral:rRNA from 1 species
AUACGGAGGGUGCAAGCGUUGUCCGGAAUUAUUGGGCGUAAAGCGUUCGUAGGCGGCAUGUCAAGUCUGAUGUUAAAGCCCGGAGCUCAACUCCGGUUCAGCAUUGGAUACUGGCAAGCUAGAGUACAGGAGAGGCAAGGGGAAUUCCCAGUGUAGCGGUGAAAUGCGUAGAUAUUGGGAGGAACACCAGUUGCGUAAGCGCCUUGCUGGACUGAAACUGACGCUGAGGAACGAAAGCCAGGGGAGCAAAUGGGAUUAGAUACCCCAGUAGUCCUGGCCGUAAACGAUGGAUACUAGGUGUUGCGGGUAUCGACCCCUGCAGUGCUGCAGCUAACGCAAUAAGUAUCCCGCCUGGGGAGUACGCACGCAAGUGUGAA